rnacentral:lncRNA from 1 species
GGGCAAUAAUCCCCCGAUUAAGUGGACGAGGAAGGCAGUUAAGUGAGGAAAAACCACAAAUAAACAAUAAUAAGAAUAAUUUAGGAGCAGGGAGGAGCUGGCAGCUGAGUCCCUUUGCCUUUCCUGGGCAGCACGCAGGGCCAGGAGCACUCUGGGAAGUGUAGUUCUGCCUUCUCUGCUGACAUCCUCUGCUGGCAGGAUGGAAAUCUCAGCUUUUCUCUCCAUUCCUCCCUUCGUUCUCAGUCCAAGUGUCUCAUGGAUGCCAAGGCAGCUGCCCUAGGGAUUGAGAGCAGAAUCACUGAGAACGUGGGAUUCCUCUUCCUGCACUUUGAUCUCUCCAAUUUUCAGCUCAUUCUGGCUGCCUUAUAGGCACUAAUCCCUCUGCAGGCAUCGGAGAGAAUCCACCUACACUUCAUGCAGCAAUCACUUAAGUCUUAUUGUGUAAAUAAAAUCUCAAACACGAAAUCC